UUGCUUUAAACGGUUGCACUCUUUUUAAAUUUGACUCAGCACUGUUGCACUCGUGCGGGGGCAACUGGCACUCCGAUUAAUUUUUAUAAAAUUUAAAAAUGUGGGGCUAACUUCACAGUCAUGCCUCCUCCCUCCUUCGUCUUCUAUUACCUCUCUCAUAUUAAAAUUUUGCUCAUUUGCCUUCCUCUCCAACAGAACGUUUCUAAAACAUUUUUAUACUUUUUAUAUUAUAAAUGUAGACCAAUAAAGAAAUGAUGCAAAUUUAUUAUUGCCUUUAUAUGUAACUUAAUCUGUACUAAAUUCACAUGUCUAUACUAAACUAUAUUAAGCUUCCUCCUAAUAUGUUAACUUUAACAGUCCGAGUUGCAUUCAUAGAUAUAUUAAGAAAGACUGUUUAUAAAACUCUUAGGUAGGGAUAUUCUACAAAGGGAACGAGUUAGUAGAACACUUUUCUCUUUCUUCUGCCUCUCCUUCUCAUUGAUAUAUUAGAUUAAAGAGAAAAACUACCCAACUAAUAUGAAGUGAGAAUAAGGACACCCAACUAGGUGGCGUUUAGAAAGAAGAAAAUUAAUUAUAAAAAAUAUUCUGUCAAAAAAGAUGUUUGCUGAAUGCAAUAACUUGCAACAUUUUGUUGCCAUGUUAAAUUUAUUUGUGUGUGUACGUGUGUGAAUGUGUGUGUGUGUGUACUGACUUUGUCGAUGUCGUCGGUGUGAUGUUUUGUUAGGUUAGGUUGUGACCGGAAUUAACGAUGCAUAAGACUUUACAACCGCUGAUGGGAAUGAACUCACAUACCUUUUUUGUAUUACAGGUAACGGUCGCCAGCUCUUCUUACCUCCUAAGAGUAAGGAACAGGAUGCCCAGACGCUGGAUACCCGCUGGAACAUCCGUCGUCACGCUCAGGACCACGCCCGUGUUGCGAUGAGUAUCCGCUUUGAGGUUAUGUACUCUCGCGCGCAGUGGUUUCUCGUUGUGUGUGGAUCUGCUACCACUUACUAAUUCACUUUCUUUCUUUUUCAGGUGCUGCCCACUUCCCAGAGGAACACUUCCGGCUCGCCGCAAUUUCCCAGGAUCAUCCACAGGUCCCCAGAGUACGUUCGUAGGAUAGGAUUUCUCGCACAGAAAGUUUCAGUUCACAGUACCCGAUCGCGUGGCUUUUGCACAAUCGCGUUAUCGAGUUCCUGAUUUAUUACGUGAGCCUACUCGCAUUCAGCUCUCGUCGUUAUUAAUUACGCUGACGUGGUAAUCACGGAACUUCCGCUCGCAGUCGCACGAUCGCACUUUGCCACGAAAUGACCGACGACGGUUUACGCGCGAAAACUUGCGUGGUUUCUCGUGAGGAUUGUUCCUCAUGGUAUUCGCACAUUAUAUACCAGGCGGCAUCUCCCUUCCGUCUGGCCGCUCGCCAAUCAGCGAUAGCGUCAUCUGCCACCACCCGGGAUUUUACGAUACCCCUACCGCUCAUGCUGUGGCCACUCGACGCGUUGCGUCGCCUCGCGGGAUCGCACGCUGGGCUAUCCCCUCUUCCGUGGCUUUCGCCAAUCACAGCAGAGCGUGGCUGACUCGCGUGAGAUGCGCCUCGCUCUUCCCUAUGCUGUGUUCGAGCUUACAGAGAAAAUUAAUAUAUUGCACCCGAAAAUGCAAAAGUGCAGGGAAGUGCGCCACUCUGUACUUUGCAUUAAAAUAUUUAAAUAAACAAAAUAUCACCUUUAGGUUGUGUAACUGCAACAUAAAGACAAAAUGCAUAUGACACUAAAACUGUAAUCCAAAGUCGCAUUAACGCGAUGAAAUAUAUGAAUACAGAGUAGCACACAACUUCCUGUAACUAUCUUAACAUUUUACUUAUCUGACAUGCUAAUAUUUAUUAUAACAAAGACUAAGCCUAUUGGCUGAAUGUAGUGUGAAUUAUUAUUAAACGCUACUUGACUGAAACUAUAUUUUUAUAUUUUACUUAACGAUCAGAAAUUAAUAUUUGACUAAUGUCAUGUAGAGACUAACUAAUAGUAUUUUAUCGUGAAUUUAACUUAACGAGAAUGUUUUUCUAGCUAUCAGUAGUGAGUAUUUAUUACAUAAGAAUUUAUAUUAAAGAUAUUUGUUUAUUUUAUAAAACAGCCUACUUUGUAAAUAUAAUAUAAUAUAGUUAUGUAAAUAGGUCUGUAAGUGUAUUUGUGUAUGUUGUACAAUAAAAGAUUUAAGAAAAUAGUGUUAUUUGU